CCUACGGGAGGCAGCAGUAGGGAAUCUUUCACAAUGGGCGAAAGCCUGAUGGAGCAACGCCGCGUGCAGGAUGAAGGCCUUCGGGUUGUAAACUGCUUUUAUAAGCGAGAAAUAUGAUGGUAACUUAUGAAUAAGGAUCGGCUAACUACGUGCCAGCAGCCGCGGUCAUACGUAGGAUCCGAGCAUUAUCCGGAGUGACUGGGUGUAAAGAGUUGCGUAGGUGGCAUAAUAAGUAGCUAGUGAAAUCUGGUGGCUCAACCAUUCAGACUAUUAGCUAAACUGUUAAGCUCGAGACCGUUAGGGGUAACUGGAAUGUCUAGUGUAGGAGUGAAAUGCGUAGAUAUUAGAAGGAACACCAAUAGCGUAGGCAGGUUACUGGGACGGUUCUGACACUAAGGCACGAAAGCGUAGGGAGCAAACGGGAUUAGAUACCCCAGUAGUC
rnacentral:rRNA from 1 species